GACAGAGGGGGCAAGCGUUGCUCGGAAUUACUGGGCGUAAAGGGCGCGUAGGCGGGAUGGCAAGUCGGUCGUGAAAUCCCUCGGCUCAACCGAGGAACGUCGAUCGAUACUGCUGUUCUUGAGGAUUGCAGAGGAGACUGGAAUUCCCGGCGUAGCGGUGAAAUGUGUAGAGAUCGGGAGGAACACCGGUGGCGAAGGCGGGUCUCUGGGCAAUUCCUGACGCUGAGGAGCGAAAGUGUGGGGAGCGAACAGG
rnacentral:rRNA from 1 species